rnacentral:rRNA from 1 species
CCCUUAGAUGUUCUGGGCCGCACACGCGCUACACUGAAGGAGGCAGCGUGUACUCCUGGAUCGAAAGAUUUGGGUAACCCGCGAAUCUCCUUCGUGCUAGGGAUUGAGGUUUGCAAUUAUCCUUCAUGAACGAGGAAUUCCCAGUAAGUGCAAGUCAUAAGCUUGCGCUGACUACGUCCCUGCCCUUUGUACACACUGCCCGUCGCUACUACCGAUUGAAUGAUUUAGUGAGGACUUCGGACUGGGACCGAUGCGGCUUUUGGGCUGCGUCGGUAUUCUGGAAAGAUGUCCAAACUGUAUCAUUUAGAGGAAGUAAAAGUCGUANCA